CGUCCCGCGGCCUGGCUCGGUGCUCGGGGGCAGGCUGUGUGCUGUGGCGCCUCGCUCGGCCUCGUUCCGUCUCCGCCCGGGGAGGUGUCCGGGGCGGCUGGAGCGCGCUGCCGUGGGUCCCUCGGGCCUCUGGGGACCCGGCCCRGCCCCGCCCGCACGGCUGUGCCGGUAGUGCCCGCAGUGCCCGCCUGCCCUGCCCCGUGUCGUGCCCGCCAUUCGUGCGCUGUUCCUUCCCAGAGCAGGAUUAGUUUGUCCCCAGUCCGUGUGGUGGCCGCGUGCGGAGCAUCCGCCGGCACCGCCAUUUCACGUUUGAGCUCAGUGAAGAAAGGGAAUGUUAAUUGGUUCGGCAGAAAGAACGCCUGAGCCGUGCCGACCUGGGGAUAACCCACUGGUGGAGGCAUGGCCGCUUCYAAGGCGGCAGGCACCUUCGAGAGUAACCUUGCCAUCUGUUCAAAGACAACAAAGAGUGGCUUUGCAAUGACACCUGCCACAUCUCAGCAGUCACAAAGAUAUCCUGUCUCAUCCUGUGAACUGUGCUUGUCCAGCUUAUCUAAGGAGUCCCUGYUUAGAUCCAUUGAUACUAUACUGCAGGUCCAAUCAGUGUUCAUAAUCUGGAAAUUGAAGAAACAGCAGAUAAACAGAGAAACUGGAAAGAUGGAAACCUCACUUAAUUGAACUGACUGAAAAACAUUCAGCAACAUAAUUGAUGUUUGUAGAAGAACUGCACCUUCUGUGAUACACAACUAUUUUCAGAUUCUGUUAUAAUUCUAUAAGAGAUGAUGAAAUAAAAUCAGGAAGAAAAAUACCAUCAUUUGCCUGCAGCUGGACUAUACCUACUAAGCUUACCAAACAAGGCAUAUUCAUAUCUCAGAGAACUGUAUCUGACUGAAAUAUCUGGCAGAGUAACAUUAUAACCCCAUGGAAUAAUACUGCUUUCACUGUUAUUCAGGACACCUCUCCACCUUUCUYGUAACCUUUGAACUACUGGGAGUGUGUCGAAGGCAGUUUAAGGAGACCGAAUACCAAGCCAUGUUGAGRCAUACACCAAGCAGGUGAUAGUACUGUGAGAGUUGUGUCGAUGAGCAGUAAGAGAAAAUGGGACUUAAAAGAGGCAACCUUUGUGUAAGAAUAGGCUUAUUAUAAAUCAUGCAGACUAGCAAACCUGAAAACAGGAGUUUCUGAAUCUUUGGACUUAGUUUCUUGCACAUUCUGUCUGUGUGUCACGCUGACAGUUAUGCAUCCCUAAUGCACUGAAAGCAGAAAAUGUUAGUUUGCUUGGUAAACAGCUAACUUAGAGAAUCCCAUAAAAAUAACAAAUCACAUUAUGAAAUUCUACAUCCUUAUAUGUUUCACUUGGCCAUGCUCAGUAUUCACUACAUUAUUAAUGAAUUCUACUGAAGCAUUCAUUGAUGGGUUCCWUUUCAAGAUCAAUGAUCUGUGUCAUCCUCCCAUAUAUGGGUGCAGAGCACACUGUCACUUUAUUUGGGUAUAUGCUGWUAUGAACAUGGCUCUGGUAGCUCCAAUGCAUCAAGCCUGGAGUGAGUUUGAACCCCAUGAGUUUGAAAACAUUCCCAGGAAAAAGAAAAUGUGGAUAAUGAAAGUUAAUCAACAGCCUUCCAAUAUUACUUCCUUGAUUUGGGUUUGUAGAAUACAACUCAUUCAUUAAAUACAUAGGAUGAUAAUGGAUCUCUGAAGCAGAUGACUUGUUGAGAUACCAAGGCCCAAGCAAUUCUGUUUCAAUACAUCAGAAUACAGCAGGGCUAACAGAAACUUAAUCAAACAAUUCAGCUGAGUAUUAAGCUUUCUAAUUAUGGCUUCAGGAGAAAACAGGAUGCGGGACGGAGCCUAUUCUUACUCUAACAAACUGUUUAGGGUUUCCUAAGAACUUGAGCUUCAGAGAAGACUUAAGAAACCUAAGAGCCUCUCACUAACUGUUUACCAAAUACUGAACAAGACUGUUGAGUCUGUUUAAGGUUCCAAAAACAAAAGAAGCUGGUAGAUCACUUAGAAUUAGUCUUGUUUCUUUUUUCUCUCAUUUCACUGGUAAAUGUAUCUCCCGAGAAACUGAGCUUGAAGUUUCAGUUUUCAUACCUUGUCUAGUGAUACUCAUCCUGUCCAGUCUGACUAGAAUUUGAAUUAGUCURUGGUCUUAGUGCUCUCAAGAGGGAUGGUAAGACAUCUCUUGCAUAUGAUUAACGGAUACAAGUUAUUUCACCCCAAAUUUACUUCAGUUGUUUUUAUCACACAUAAACUUCCAGACUUAUCUUAAUAMAUGAAAUAUUUGGAAAGUAAAAAAUUAUGCAAAUUCUGGUCUAUUAGAURGGAGUAUAUGUGCUACUGCUUUCAAUAAAAGGUGUUUCUGUAAAAUAACCAACAUAUGUGAAAUAAUUCAGAUGAYUCAAUGGAUUCUCUUCCUGCCAAUGGAUUUGGUAGGAGAAAAAAGACUGUAAAUGAAGCAAUUUUAUUUUCUGUGACUUGAUUAUUCUGCACUUCAGUUGUGUAAAAAAGUAGCAGUUAGUAAGUAAUGCUAGAAUUCACACCAUUAAGAAGCAAUUUACUGAAAUUGCCAGAAUGCAUAAGUUCCCAUUUCAAGGAGGGGAGUGAAUUAUUUAAGCCCUGCUGUGAAAAACAGGAUAGAAAAAUCUCAUCUCUGGUUAUAGCAAAUUUUGAUCUGGAGUGUUGCUAUGUUGCCAUCUAGUGACAAAAUAGAAAGGUACAAUAGAUGGCGGCCGAGGGAGAGGAAAUCAAACCUACACAAAUGACGCUAUUUAUCCCAGUAAAGAUCAUACCCUUUUCCUGCAGUAGAAUAAAUAGCGUUAAUUACAUGCUGAGAGUAAACUCUUUAAUGAAAAGAAGGUAAAGUCACAAAAAUAGAAAUGAGCAUUUUAUAAUUGACGUUAAGGGAGUGUACAAAAUGGGUAAGGGUCAGAUGGCAAAUAUGCUGCAGGAAAUACCUGCAGUUGAGAACCUCUUAAAAAGUAUAAAUCCAGAGCCAUCCUCGCGACCCCGUGACAAAAAUUGGCUUUGAUGGAUUUGGAUUAGCUUCACUGAAGGCUUACAUAGGAUAMAAUUUUGCAGAUCACAGAACUUGUGGCAAAUAUUUUUGCUACACAUGGCACCUGGUAUGUUCACAUCACUGUUAGUUACUGGUUUGUUCUACUUUCUAAUAAAUUCACGAUCAACUAAAAACUGAAUUUUUGAUCUGGCUUUCUACUCCAUGAGCUUCUAUUCUAAGGAAAUAGAACAAUUACAUGCAAUGAGUCUUUUAGGACUGACAAGCCUGCAUAAGCUUAAGUACUAUGGUGARUGAAACAAAGGGCAGCUAAAUGUGUAGAUGAUGACGGGUCAUCUACUGUUUUUAACCUGCCUUCAAAGAAAAGGAAAAAUGGCAAAAUUAUUAUUGAAGCACAAAGUUAUCUCAAAGUAGGUUUAAGAGACCCAGACAUGGGCAUUUCAUCAACAGCUUUCAUCAUGGUACUGCCAUGAGUUGAAAGUGUAACAAUUUCAAAUAGCAUUCAACAAAUAAAAUCAAGCAAAAAAAUGAUACCCGAAUUUUGGAUGUUCCUAAGAAAAACAUUUCUGAUUUUCAAACAGGUUUGAAAAGCAGGUACCUAUUUCAAGUUCCAAAGCAGCCUGCACAGUAUCUGAGAACAAUGUUUACACAGAAUAGAGAUUAUUAUUAUUUAUAUUUUA